AUUGAACGCUGGCGGCGUGCUUAACACAUGCAAGUCGAUCGGUAACAGGUGUAGCAAUACAUGCUGACGAGAGGCGGACGGGUGAGGAAUAUUUGGGAAUCUGCCCAUCAGCGGGGGACAACCCGGGGAAACUCGGGCUAAUACCGCAUACGCUCUACGGAGGAAAGCCGGGGACCGCAAGGCCUGGCACUGAUGGAUGAGCCCAAAUCGGAUUAGCUAGUUGGCGGGGUAACGGCCCACCAAGGCGACGAUCCGUAGCUGGUCUGAGAGGACGAUCAGCCACACCGGAACUGAGACACGGUCCGGACUCCUACGGGAGGCUGCAGUGGGGAAUAUUGGACAAUGGGGGAAACCCUGAUCCAGCGACGCCGCGUGGGUGAAGAAGGCCUGCGGGUUGUAAAGCCCUUUCGGUAGGGAAGAAAUCUCUUGUUCUAAUAAAACAAGGGUUUGACUUAACCUACAUAAGAAGCACCGGCUAACUCUGUGCCAGCAGCCGCGGUAAUACAGAGGGUGCGAGCGCUAAUCGGAAUUACUGGGCGUAAAGCGCACGUAGUCGGCUUGCCAAGUCGGGUGUGAAAUCCCCGGGCUCAACCUGGGAACUGCAUCCGAAACUGG
rnacentral:rRNA from 1 species